GUGUUCCUAUAAUAAGAGUUAAUACAAUGAGGUCGCGACUUUUGAUUGAUUGUCUAAAUCCGCCAUACGUAACAGGUUAAUCACUGGCGGUGUGGCACGGGAAUCAAAGGGAACAGUGCGGCGAACCCCAUCCACACAGUUUCAAAGGAACCAGCGGCUACAAAAUUAACACGAUUAGGCUGGCGGUGGACUUGCUCGGGGAUUUCGCAGAUCAACAUCAAAGUCGAUCAAAAUCAGACUGUUACACCAUCGAUAAAAAG